AUAACCUACAGGUACUCUUUUAUCACUUCUCUUCCCUAGGCGGGUUGUGUGUGUGUCUAUUCUCUCCCUUGCUAUAGUCUUCAGCUCUUCUCUGGUUCCAAAAUGGUUUGCAGUACUAAGGCUAAAAAGAGAUAAAUUCAUUUUUGAGCUGUGACCAUAUGCUGCCUGGAAGCCUAUCCUCGUAGUUGGCAUUUUACUCAUGUUACUCUAGUGUUCAGCAUCUCAAAGUCCCGUGUGUGUGCCUUGGGAUUUAACAUGGGCUCUCCCGUCUAAUCAUUUCACUCCGUCCCCCGCAGCGUGGUGAGGUUUCAGUCUAGAAGACAGCCCUGGCACCUCUAAACUGUGGAAAACUGGAGCAGCACUAAUUAAAGUUGAGAAAGUGGAACUUGAGGUGUGCUCGCUGUUACUCUGGCACCAGAAUGGGAUAUGUACCAAAACCAUUUGAGGGGAGAAAGAGUGAUGCCACCUUCUUUAAAUGACUGGGGAUCUGCAAAACCGUACCAGAUGAGGAAACUGAACAACAAAGAGGUUAACUAUUUUGCUUUGGGUGACCUUGAUAGCAAGUGAAGAGGCUGAGAGAAGAACCUGGAGCAUCUGACCGGGAUGCAGCACCGACUAUGCUCCCAUGGGGUGUUCUUAACACCCUUCAGACUUAGCUUCCUUGUCUGUAAAUUGGGGCCAUUCAUUUCUAUGCUCAGCCAGUUGGUGGUGAGUUUGCAAGAGAAUAUGAAUAAAGUAUCAAGCACCCUAUGGCCCAGUG